rnacentral:rRNA from 1 species
UACGUAGGGUGCAGGCGUUAAUCGGAAUUACUGGGCGUAAAGCGUGCGCAGGCGGUUUGCUAAGACAGGUGUGAAAUCCCCGGGCUUAACCUGGGAACUGCGUUUGAAACUGAAAGACUAGAGUGUGGCAGAGGGGGGUGGAAUUCCACGUGUAGCAGUGAAAUGCGUAGAGAUGUGGAAGAACACCGAUGGCGAAGGCAGCCCCCUGGGCUAACACUGACGCUCAUGCACGAAAGCGUGGGGAGCAAACAGG